rnacentral:rRNA from 1 species
GAUGAACGCUGGCGGCGUGCCUAAUACAUGCAAGUCGAGCGAACGGACGAGAAGCUUGCUUCUCUGAUGUUAGCGGCGGACGGGUGAGUAACACGUGGAUAACCUACCUAUAAGACUGGGAUAACUUCGGGAAACCGGAGCUAAUACCGGAUGAUAUUUUGAACCGCAUGGUUCAAAAGUGAAAGACGGUCUUGCUGUCACUUAUAGAUGGAUCCGCGCUGCAUUAGCUAGUUGGUAAGGUAAUGGCUUACCAAGGCAACGAUGCAUAGCCGACCUGAGAGGGUGAUCAGCCACACUGGAACUGAGACACGGUCCAGACUCCUACGGGAGGCAGCAGUAGGGAAUCUUCCGCAAUGGGCGAAAGCCUGACGGAGCAACGCCGCGUGAGUGAUGAAGGUCUUCGGAUCGUAAAACUCUGUUAUUAGGGAAGAACAUAUGUGUAAGUAACUGUGCACAUCUUGACGGUACCUAAUCAGAAAGCCACGGCUAACUACGUG